GGAGUCAGUGGGAAAUGAGGCUGGGCCAAGCCAGGACCAAGCUGUGGGGUGCUUGAGGUGGUUGGAGGGAAUGCAGGGGCAGCUGGUAACAGGGGUGACAAAGGGUGUAUUUGCAGGUGGGAGACCUGCCACCAGCAGUCAUCCCAGUGCACAUGGCAGUGGUGGGCUGCCCCAUCAGCUCCCAGCGGACCACCUCUUACAUGGCUGACAAGUCACAGAAGGAGCCCAUCAUCAGGUUUGGGACCCAGGUCUCUGGAGGAGACACAAUCACACGGAAACUUCGCCUGAAUAACUCCAGCCCCUGUGACAUUCGCCUAGACUGGGUCACCUAUGUUCCAGAAGAUAAGGAGGAUAAGCUGGUGGACCUGCUAGUGUUUUAUGGACCACCAUUCCCACUGCGGGAUCAAGCUGGAAAUGAGAUUGUGUACCCUGAGACCCCCGAGAGCAGCAGCUUACCCUGGUCCCCAAGCCCCUCCAGCAUGUCCGAGUCCAGCCAUGCAGCUGCUUUUCCAGUAGAGGCCUACUCCAAUGCCAGCAACAGGGCUGCAGCACAGAUCAUCUCAGUUGUCCUGCAGGAGCAUGAGGGGGUGCCCUCCGACCUCCCCUACUGUAUCAGACCCCAGCAGGUGGUGGUCCCUGCUGGGGGAAGUAGCACCAUCUACAUCUCCUUCACACCUCCGGUGCUCAGCUCCGACAUCCAGCAGAAGGUGGAGUGUACUGGCUACGCCCUGGGUUUCAUGAGCUUGGACAAUGAGGUGAACGUCCUGGGGUGGGGACCAUAG
rnacentral:lncRNA from 1 species